CACUAUUCACAUUUUCUUCUUUUUCCCAAUUAUGAGUUCUUCCAUUUUCUUACUUUUCUAACAAGAAUAUUUUCUAACGGAACCACCGUGCCGGAACUCUCCUUCCGCCGUCGCCGCCUUCUUCUCCUUCUAAGGUGAGUUUCUUAUUCCGCUGCUUUAUUUUUUAUUCAGUUCAUUCUUUCAAACUAAAAAUCCUGAAUUUUCGUUGAUAAUCAUAAACUUUAUCCUCCUGUUAAAUAAGUUAAAUAUUUGAUUUGAGAAAAUCCCCAAUUUUUUGUUGAAUUGAGUGUUUCCUUGUUAUUUAUUUUGAUAUUAAUUUGGUUUUAUUUCUGAUUUUGGAACAGACUGAGUAAAAAAUUGUGUAGUUUAUAAAGAUGUCAUUUUUUUCUGUGUUAACCCUGUUUCGGGGAAAACAUCUGAUAAUCUAGAAUUCGACUGUGACGUAAAUAGACUCUAACAAAAAAUUGUUCUUCUAAAAAAUUGAACUUAGAUUCUACCGAAUGAUUCGUCUUAAUAGAAGCUCAUUCGGGACCAAUCACUUGAUUAAAAUUGGCCUUAGAAGCAAAAUGCAAUGGGUAUUUGGUGGUAAUAAAUAUAUUGGCUGUUUGAGUUAUUAAUGUUGUGUUUAAUUUCUGAUUUGGGAAUUUUGCUGUUGUUGCAUUGUUGUGUUAUUGUUUAGAUUUCUGAUCACUUUGCUGCCAGCUUUACUACCUCAUGUGUUAUAAUAUAGAUCAGAUACAUCACUUAUUCAAUGAAUUUGAAAAGUUGACAUUUUCUUAUAAAUACGGUCGGAGUGAGUACACUGUACAACUAUUGACCAAAACUCAACUUGAAAUCAGCUUAAUGUGUCAACACACUUAAUUCCAUUUGACAUUUCAUAUUAUAACAUAGACUGAAAAAAUCAUACUAGUAGCAUAAUCAGUUAUGGAAAUGGAAUAAUGAAAUCACGUGAUAGUAAAGGGAUAUUGAUCUGUCAUAUUGCAAUAUUAUAAAACGGAUGAGAUGCACUUUAUACUUGUUUAGUUUCAUUCACAGAAAAGCUAUAAAAAUAUAAUUUUUUCAACUUCCAUUUAUGUAUAUAUACAAUAUCAGUACUACUGAUAAAAAAUGGUCCAUUACAAUCCAAAAAUAACAGUAAACUUUAUAUAAAAAUUCAAUAAAAAAUAAACCAAACAAAUAAAAUACAACUGAAAAAACAUUAAAAAACGUAAAAAAAUCAAAUUGAAAAACUCCAUAGUGACACCUCAACAUCUUGAAAAUCUUCAUUAACAUGCUCAUGCUCAUGCUCAUGCUCUAAGCUAUGUGUAGGGGACAUUAGUGCCAUAUUCCUCAAUGACUCUGGAAUGUUCAACUCUCCCUCUUCUUCCUCUUCCAAACUAAACAUAAGCGGCUCCUCUGUAGCGGCGGAAGCUUCAGCUGUGUCUUCAAUGUCGGUAGUCAUUAAAAUAUUGUUUGGUCUAAAAGCCUCAGCAGCUGCUGCAGCUGCCUUUUGUAUAUCUUUUGUCUCUGUAGUUGCAGGUAUAGGAAGCCGCGUAGCCGAGUCUGCAUAGUUUAGACAAGCAUAACGACCCCU
rnacentral:lncRNA from 1 species